GGUGAACGCUGGCGGCGUGCUUAAGACAUGCAAGUCGAACGCAGUCUUCGGACUGAGUGGCGCACGGGUGAGUAACACGUAACUGACCUACCCCCAAGUCGCGAAUAACCAGCCGAAAGGAUGGCUAAUACGUGAUGUGAUGAUCCGCUGUGGCGGAUCAUUAACGACUCGAUCGCUGGGGGAGGGGGUUGUGGUCCAUUAGCUAGUUGGUAAGGAAAAGGCUUACCAAGGCAACGACGGAUAGCCGGCCUGAGAGGGUGGCCGGCCACAGGGGCACGGAGACACGGGUCCCAUUCCUAGGGGAGGCAGCAGUUAGGAAUCUUCCACAAUGGGCGCAAGCCUGAUGGAGCGACGCCGCGUGAGGGAUGAAGGUUCUCGGAUCGUAAACCUCUGAACCAACGACGAAAGACCCGACAAGGGAGAUGACGGUAGUUGGGUAAUAGCACCGGCUAACUCCGUGCCAGCAGCCGCAGUAACAC
rnacentral:rRNA from 1 species